rnacentral:rRNA from 1 species
UACGUAGGUGGCAAGCGUUGUCCGGAUUUACUGGGCGUAAAGAGCGCGCAGGCGGUUGCCCAAGUCGGGUGUGAAAGCCUUGAGCUCAACUCAAGAAAUGAACUCGGUACUGGGUGACUAGAGGACCGGAGAGGAUAGUGGAAUUCCCAGUGUAGUGGUGAAAUACGUAGAGAUUGGGAAGAACACCAGUGGCGAAGGCGGCUAUCUGGACGGUUUCUGACGCUAAGACGCGAAAGCGUGGGGAGCAAACAGG